CACGUAGGGUGCGAGCGUUGUCCGGAAUUAUUGGGCGUAAAGAGCUCGUAGGCGGUGUGUCACGUCGGCCGUGAAAACCUGCAGCUUAACUGUGGGCGUGCGGUCGAUACGGGCAUCACUGGAGUUCGGCAGGGGAGACUGGAAUUCCUGGUGUAGCGGUGAAAUGCGCAGAUAUCAGGAGGAACACCGGUGGCGAAGGCGGGUCUCUGGGCAGUAACUGACGCUGAGGAGCGAAAGCGUGGGGAGCAAACAGG
rnacentral:rRNA from 1 species